AGAGUUUGUUAAGGACCGUGUAAGAGGACACCACGCUGGCUUUUCAGUGGGCGCGUCCCUCCUGGGGGCAUCACCAGACAACCCCAGGCGGAAGUGGCGGUGGCCCAUCCUCAUGCAAACUGCAGUGUAAGAACUGGGGCCCGGGACUCCCCGCAAAUGUGGGACACUGACAUUCUGUGAUGCUGUCCCAAUGCCCUUUCAAAGCGCUCAGCCCCCAAAUUCCCAACCAACAGCCAUUUCAGGGAGGGGCUGCCCAGGACCAGGCUUUUGAUGAACCACGACUGUUCGGGGUGCCGUCUUGGGAGAUCGGGGUGCCGUCUUGGGAGAGCCACGUCAGUCCCUCUGAGAUUCCAAACGGCCGACAGCGGACACCUCGGGACCACAUCCGAGCCUCGGGGACCUGUCAAGACGCCAUCGACGGACCUGGACCAAAUCCCGCCCGGGAAGGGAGGGGUCGCGACCGGACCCUGGAGACCGACGGCUGCCUGGCGAUCUGAGCCCACCCCGGCGCUGCCGUCCCGCCCCCACUUCCGAUCGGUCGAAGGUCACGUGCCCUGACCCCGCCCCGCAGACGCGGCUCCUCCAGCUGCGAGCGUCCCGGCUUUCCCUUCCGCCGGAAGUAGGGCGACUUUCCUUUUCCGGCUACGGGUCCCCAAGCGGAGCGGGAGGCCGGACCGGGGAGCCGAGCGGCGGCGGCGUCGGCUGCGUCGGCGGCGGGGGCGACGGCGGCGGGGGCGGUAAUGGCGGAGCUGGUGCAGGGGCAGAGCGCUCCUGUGGGGAUGAAGGCCGAGGGCUUCGUGGAUGCCCUGCACCGGGUCCGGCAGAAAGCCACAGGAGUCAUUGUAUUAGAAGAAGGUCUUCACUUGGGCGCUUGAAGAUAUGGUCUUUACAUCUCUUUCCAGUAUUCCAGGGGAGGGAACCCUACCUGUUUCCCUGAUACUGACUUUUCAUGUUAUAUAUUGAUGCUCCUAUAGACAUUAUAUUGGAUCCCAGAACUUUCCAAACCUGUGGUUCCACCUAAAAUUUUAUCUGAUGAAUUGUUACUUUACUGCCUAGGUGCCAACCAGUACAGUAGUGAGUAUCCAUCUUACUUAGACUUCAGAUCCACCCAUGGCUGUAAUGGAUGAACAUGCCACCCAGCUCCCCUUCCACCACUCUGCUUGCUGGCGUGUUACAGUGCUCUCCUCUACAGUACAGGGUCCUGAACCUUGUUUCUCACUGGCUACUAAUAUGUAAUGGCUUUCGCUCUGUGCUGAUGUGUGACAGUCACCUUGUUGGCCUUCUAUGUCCGGGAAGAAUUAUAGUCACUGCCCUAAAGGGCUCAGAUCCUCAGUUUGCAGAAGGCCUAUAGUUGAACAUAAAGUGAAUUUUGAACCAUUGAGAAGACAUUCCGCUUCUCUUGAGCCAGUGGUUGAACUCAUAUUCUUGGACAACCUGCUCCAGAGGGAGACCCUCUGGUAAAUGCUGACCUAAUGUGGAUUGUUGAAGCAGUGGUGUUUACUACUAGCAGUGAAAACUUCAUUGGAAUUGUUCUCAGCUCUGAAAUGCACCAUUGACUGGAGCAGUAAUAAGCCCAAUGGAGACAGGGCUGUAAGUGUGUUCCUUCUGAAUGUUAACAGCUGGAGGUCCAUACUAUCUCCAAGGAUUUGAUGGCCUUUAAAAACUAAAGAAAAACCAGGUUGGUGGGUAAUUUUAGGUUUAUUGUAUAUAGAUUUGCAUUGGGCAAGAACGGAAUGUUAGAAAUCUGUAAUACUGUAUGCUGAUGGUAAACUUACUCUAAGGAUCUCUUUUGGGUAUCUGGAAGGUGAUAGUUCUGUUUCUUUGUUAUAUACACAGCAUGUUACAGAGAUGUGAUUUUUCUCCCCAUUAAACAGAACUAAAAGACAGUAUAUUUAUUUAAAUGCAAAGCUUUUUCCCCUUUUAUGUCUCCUCAUAAACUCCAGAGACAGUCUGGAAGGCCCUCUUAAAUUUGUCAAAGAGCAGUAAAGUGUCUCAUGCUCAGUUUUUCUAGCAGAUCGUAAUAGUCUCAGUUGACCCUGCUGGGAUUUGAACCUGCAGUUUCUAUUAAGUUUGGUGUGUGAAGUCCAACACCUUACCAACUAGGCUUUCCCUCUGACAUCUUGAAGCCUCCGUGUAUAUCCUUUGGACUCUGCAGCAAAGUGCAUCAGUUGUUAGUUUACUCUGAGCAUGGUAUUCUUAGAUUGAAAAGAAGUCUCUGAAGAUGUCAAAUAAAAUGUAAACAUUUUCUCCA
rnacentral:sRNA from 1 species